AAACCAACCUGCUAAUUAAUCCCAACAGACUGCGUUACGGCUGUGAACAAAUUGCAAUUGUCAACCAAAUUUGUGCUAUAGUAUUACAAUCUCAGUGAUAACAAAUUCUAUCUUUUUCCGAUGUGCCUUCUUUGCUUGAGGAGAACACCCAUAAUAAUCGACAGGCAAGAUCCGCUACUUCACAAAUCGCUUAAAAAGCGAGAUUAGACGAUUUUUUGAACGAUAAUUAUUUAGAAGAGCAUUUCAACAGUAACCGUUACAUGAAUGGAAGGGAAGGUUGCGUAUGGACCCCUUUUGGAGAUCAAAGAGUAAUACUCGGGUUAUGCCACGCUACCAACUUUGUUGCUAUUUAUACAACAUUCUAUUUUGUCCGUAACGUAGAGAUGGAAAUAUGGCGUAAGGUCGUGAAGUACCGACCGAUAUUUUUACGCCAGAACCACAACACAUUGAUGAAGUGCCGGAAUGUGUCCGGUUCCCCGGGUUCCUAGUUAUCAGUCAAGGUCGGUUCGAUGCUGCUCCGAUAUAACCCCGAAUGGUAUAGGAAACAGCAAGCAAACACGUCGCCACAAAUGGACGACAGGUCUAUUGACGCAUGCUUUCCGUCACGGUUGCUCAGCUGCGAGCUCCUCGAUGUUUCAACGAUUCGUGUACGACAUCCGUCAAUCAUAUCUUGUCCGGUACAACACAUACACUGGGCACGGGUUCGUACCGGCGGCAUGGUUGAAAAUGGCGUGUCGCUGACGUUAUCUACCGAAAUAUGACACAAACUGGCGAACAAUCGCGAUCUUCCCAAAAGAGAUCGUUGAUAAGCGAAAUCAGGAGAAAACGGAUGCGUAAGUGGGAAAAUGUUGUCAUUUAUUGGAUUGCGGAUAGCUUAGGAUCUAGUGCACAUGGACGUCUGAAUUCUUGACCACGCUCGUGAAUCCACUUGUUGGCAACUGAAAUGAAAGGAAGAUAAGAAAGUUUGAGACAACCGGUCCAUGCAGAUCGAGGAUUAGAGACUCAUACCCCAUUUAGAGCCGAGCAUAACCGGACACGCGCCAUGUAAAGUUCGUGGAUCAGUUGUUCCGUUCCGGUGCAAAUUGUACCAAAAAACGGCUGAUCCUUUCCGUGGGAACACGGCGGCACCGAUCUCGGGGAAGGCUGUAGCACCUCCAAUUUCCACGUCAGACAACUAAAUGCACAUAAGGAGAACCGUAAUAAGAAAACCGCAAGAUCAGGAUGCAAUGUGUUGGCUUUACUUACGUAGUGCAUCACUGUUGCUAUACGGUUACCCUUUCCUAUGUUUGCAUAUACCUCCUCGCCUUCCACUGGCGUGCCGUAAUCAAAAUGAGGCAGAUAGUGACCACCGAUACCAUAGUUUCCAACUUGCAGCUCCUCAGCAGCCCACAUUGUAAGCCCGGUCAUGUCUUCUGUUCGGCGGGAAAGCGAUCUCACGUGUGGAUGCAUCGGAUCAUCCAGCCAGGCGUUGCUGCUGGUGCGAGCUUUUGUGACUUCCUGCUUCUUAGAAUCACCGACCCUGGAUCGCUUUAGCGAAUUCCUCGAAAUUUCGAUGAUCGUCUUAAUCUCGUUGUCCGAAAUCACUUGGUGAUACACGACGAUGAAAGGAUCGAGACUAACUUCUUCCAGCUUAAGCGGCGCGAUCUUAAGAAACGGUACACGAUUGCUCACGUAUCGGCAACGAAGCUUAGCCAUUUCGCUUGCAGUUCGCGGCGAUUCACCCCGACAGAGGCUAUAGAAUUUGCUCCAAUCUGCGGGAGUAUUAGGCACGGGAGGUAAUCCGUGUUGGCGCUCAUACUCGAUCCACUGCUCUAGUGGUUCUUUGCUUUUCAGCGCCAGUGUAUUGUCCGGUUGUAGUUUCAACGCUUGCCUAUUGAAUUCCAGCGCCUCGGCGUACUUAAACUGCUGCGAGAGUGAAUACGACAGGGCAUUCAGUAUCUCCACCUUGCUGACCCCAGGAUUUUCCGUCGUCCAGCGGCGCAAUGCUUCGCGCAACCAGCUCGUCGCAAACUUAUACUCAUUGGCAGCUGACAGUCGCGUGCCUAUCAGAUAGCACUCUCCCGGUGUUAGGGAACGGUGUAACUCACGAUCGAGAAUCUUGCCAUCGGCCAUUUCCUUGGCCGACAGUUGGUAAAGCUCUUGCAACCGAGCGAUUCCUUCGGCCACUCCUGUCAAAUCUUCGGACGUCGGCAUGGCGCUUGAAUUGGUCAACUUAGCUCCCACGUCCAUAUCGAGGAAGUUACGGAUUCGCUCCCAAUCCGAGACAAGCCGGUUCGUCAGCAGGAAUGCAGUGAUCGGAUUCGAUACGUACCCGAGCUCGUCCUUUUGGCCGUGUUUCAGCUCGUUCGUCAGGAGCUUGCGCUGCCGGUGCAGGAACUCAAUCUUUUGCUCGUGAAGCUUAAUGUACAGGUCCAGACUGCCUAUCAGGGACUCUUCUAGCUUCAGCAGCUGUUUCAUCUGCUCCACCGAUGAAUAAUACUCGCCAUUGACGGUGUGCGAGGGAUGAGAGCAGCACAGCCAAAGUGUGAUCAGCACGACGACGUUGGAUAGGGUUGCUGCUGACACCUGAGACAUCAUGGUGUCGUGGUUGCCGGUCCGAAACGAAGUGACAGAGUCGGUCACCAAUCGGUGUGUUCCUGUUAGCUUCAAAAUUUUCAAUCAACGUGUGGUAAUGGAAAACCUUUCACUACCACCACCAGAGCACAGACACAUGUCAUCGAUAAGAAUGCGUUUCGGCAAAAGAAUAUUGAUCGGAAAUCGAUGUACAUUCGCGCUUGUCUUGUGAGUGGGGGUCCAAAUCUUAUCAAUGCACGAUACAAGACGGAACACGAUCUCAUAUUCUGAUUAAACAAUACAGUGAGAACAACUGUGAACAAACCUUUUUGGCGUGGUGUUCUUUUUCGCAAAGUGCAAACUAACCACCGUUGCAUAUUCACAACAUACUGACGGUUGACCCAGCUUGCCAGAUAGGGUCCCUGAAAUUAUCCCUGCACAAGUUUUGGGUCAUACUCGCUGUUUGCGAGAACGCUACACCUUGCUGAACAUGAUUAUCGCCCGCGUUUAAUCUUUCAAGCUAUAUUUCAUUCUAAAACUUAUGUUUUAUAAUACAUUGAGUUAGUUUUUAUCCAUAAAACUUGAGAAAACUUGUCGCGCUUGCCCCACCCUUCACACUAGCCGUAUUUUGAAACCUGGGGAUGUUUCUUUGAUUAUCUUUUCCAUCCUCAAUGUUUUCAACCCACAAUCUAUCGUUUUGGACAUUAUGACUUUGGACCAAAUAGCUUUUCAUCUUAGAACACAUAGCCUCGUCCAGCAUGCCGAGAUAGAUUUUUUUAACACAGGCACGUAAUGGUUUCAUCGUUACUAAAAUCUGACCACCAUCAGAAAAUAGACCAAUCCAACCCUCAAUAUACUAAAUAAACACUACAAUUUGACAAGAAUAUAUUGCUUAGAUUAACUAGAUGCUGUAAAUAUACUAAAAUCCAGCAAAAAAGAGUAUGAUAAUAUAUUGAACUUGGUGAACUUUACAGCUUAGAAUCCAGUGCACAAGGGCGUCUGAAUUCUUGGCCAUGCUCGUGGAUCCACUUGUUGGCAACUGAAAUGAAAGGAAGAUAAGAAAGUUUGAGACAACCGGUCCAUGCAGAUCGAGGAUUAGAGACUCAUACCCCAUUUAGAGCCGAGCAUAACCGGACACGCGCCAUGUAAAGUUCGUGGAUCAGUUGUUCCGUUCCGGUGCAAAUUGUACCAAAAUACGGCUGAUCCUUUCCGUGGGAACACGGCGGCACCGAUCUCGGGGAAAGCUGUAGCACCUCCAAUUUCCACGUCAGACAACUAAAUGCACAUAAGGAGAACCGUAAUAAGAAAACCGCAAGAUCAGGAUGCAAUGUGUUGGCUUUACUUACGUAGUACAUCACGGUUGCUAUACGGUUACCCUUCUCUAUGUUUGGAUACAGUUCUACGCCUUCCUCUGGUGUCCCGUAAUCAAAAUGAGGCAGAUAGUGACCACCGAUACCAUAGUUUCCAACCUGCAGCUGCUCAGAAGCCCACAUUGUAAGCCCGGUCAUGUCUUCUGUUCGGCGAGAAAGCGAUCUCACGUGUGGAUGCAUCGGAUCAUCCAGCCAGGCGUUGCUGCUAGUGCGAGCUUUUGACACCUCCUGCUUCGCAACAUGACCGACCAUGGCUCGCCGUAGCGAAUCCCUCGAAAUUUCGAUGAUCGUCUUAAUCUCGUUGUCCGAAAUCACUUGGUGAUAUACGACGAUGAAAGGAUCGAGACUGACUUCUUCCAGCUUAAGCGGCGCGAUCUUAAGAAACGGUACACGAUUGCUCACGUAUCGGCAACGGAGCUUAGCCAUUUCGCUUGCAGUUCGCGGCGAUUCACCCCGACAGAGGCUAUAGAAUUUGCUCCAAUCUGCGGGAGUAUUUGGCACGGGAGGUAACCCGUGUUGGCGCUCAUACUCGAUCCACUGCUCUAGUGGUUCUUUGCUUUUCAGCGCCAGUGUAUUGUCCGGUUGUAGUUUCAACGCUUGCCUAUUGAAUUCCAGCGCCUCGGCGUACUUAAACUGCUGCGAGAGUGAAUACGACAGGGCAUUCAGUAUCUCCACCUUGCUGACCCCAGGAUUUUCCGUCGUCCAGCGGCGCAAUGCUUCGCGCAACCAGCUCGUCGCAAACAUGUACUCAUUGGCAGCCGACAGUCGCGUGCCUAUCAGAUAGCACUCUCCCGGUGUUAGGGAACGGUGUAACUCACGAUCGAGAAUCUUGCCAUCGGCCAUUUCCUUGGCCGACAGUUGGUAAAGCUCUUGCAACCGAGCGAUUCCUUCGGCCACUCCUGUCAAAUCUUCGGACGUCGGCAUGGCGCUGGAAUUGGUCAACUUAGCUCCCACGUCCAUAUCGAGGAAGUUACGGAUUCGCUCCCAAUCCGAGACUAGCCGGUUCGUCAGCAGGAAUGCAGUGAUCGGAUUUGAUACGUACCCGAGCUCGUCCUUUUGACCGAGUUCCAGCUCGUUCGUCAGGAUCUUGCGCUGCCGGUGCAGGAACUCAAUCUUUUGCUCGUGCAGCUUAAUGUACUGGUCCAGACUGCCUAUCAGGGACUCCUCUAGCUUCAGCAGCUGCUUCAUCUGCUCCACCGAUGAAUAAUACUCGCCAUUGACGGUGUGCGAGGGAUGAGAGCAGCACAGCCAAAGUAUGAUCAGCACGACGACGUUGGAUAGGGUUGCUGCUAACACCUGAGACA